ACCCUUUAAGUAUAAGGAGUACGGUUGAUUUCCAAUCAAUAGGUUUAAUGGAAUAUUAAAGAGGGUA
rnacentral:tRNA from 1 species